UGACUGCGUACCUUUUGUAUAAUGGGUCAGCGACUUAUAUUCUGUAGCAAGGUUAACCGAAUAGGGGAGCCGGAGGGAAACCGAGUCUUAAUUGGGCGUUAAGUUGCAGGGUAUAGACCCGAAACCCGGUGAUCUAGCCAUGGGCAGGUUGAAGGUUGGGUAACACUAACUGGAGGACCGAACCGACUAAUGUUGAAAAAUUAGCGGAUGACCUGUGGCUGGGGGUGAAAGGCCAAUCAAACCGGGAGAUAGCUGGUUCUCCCCGAAAGCUAUUUAGGUAGCGCCUCGUGAAUUCAUCUCCGGGGGUAGAGCACUGUUUCGGCUAGGGGGCCAUCCCGGCUUACCAACCCGAUGCAAACUGCGAAUACCGGAGAAUGUUAUCACGGGAGACACACGGCGGGUGCUAACGUCCGUCGUGAAGAGGGAAACAACCCAGACCGCCAGCUAAGGUCCCAAAGUCAUGGUUAAGUGGGAAACGAUGUGGGAAGGCCCAGACAGCCAGGAUGUUGGCUUAGAAGCAGCCAUCAUUUAAAGAAAGCGUAAUAGCUCACUGGUCGAGUCGGCCUGCGCGGAAGAUGUAACGGGGCUAAACCAUGCACCGAAGCUGCGGCAGCGACGCUUAUGCGUUGUUGGGUAGGGGAGCGUUCUGUAAGCCUGUGAAGGUGGCCUGUGAGGGUUGCUGGAGGUAUCAGAAGUGCGAAUGCUGACAUAAGUAACGAUAAAGCGGGUGAAAAGCCCGCUCGCCGGAAGACCAAGGGUUCCUGUCCAACGUUAAUCGGGGCAGGGUGAGUCGACCCCUAAGGCGAGGCCGAAAGGCGUAGUCGAUGGGAAACGGGUUAAUAUUCCCGUACUUGGUGUUACUGCGAAGGGGGGACGGAGAAGGCUAUGUUGGCCGGGCGACGGUUGUCCCGGUUUAAGCGUGUAGGUGUGUGUUCCAGGUAAAUCCGGUUCACUUUAACACUGAGGCGUGAUGACGAGGCACUACGGUGCUGAAGUAACAAAUGCCCUGCUUCCAGGAAAAGCCUCUAAGCAUCAGGUAACAUCAAAUCGUACCCCAAACCGACACAGGUGGUCAGGUAGAGAAUACCAAGGCGCUUGAGAGAACUCGGGUGAAGGAACUAGGCAAAAUGGUGCCGUAACUUCGGGAGAAGGCACGCUGACACGUAGGUGAAGUGAUUUACUCACGGAGCUGAAGUCAGUCGAAGAUACCAGCUGGCUGCAACUGUUUAUUAAAAACACAGCACUGUGCAAACACGAAAGUGGACGUAUACGGUGUGACGCCUGCCCGGUGCCGGAAGGUUAAUUGAUGGGGUCAGCGCAAGCGAAGCUCCUGAUCGAAGCCCCGGUAAACGGCGGCCGUAACUAUAACGGUCCUAAGGUAGCGAAAUUCCUUGUCGGGUAAGUUCCGACCUGCACGAAUGGCGUAAUGAUGGCCAGGCUGUCUCCACCCGAGACUCAGUGAAAUUGAACUCGCUGUGAAGAUGCAGUGUACCCGCGGCAAGACGGAAAGACCCCGUGAACCUUUACUAUAGCUUGACACUGAACAUUGAGCCUUGAUGUGUAGGAUAGGUGGGAGGCUUUGAAGUGUGGACGCCAGUCUGCAUGGAGCCGACCUUGAAAUACCACCCUUUAAUGUUUGAUGUUCUAACGUGGACCCGUUACCCGGGUUGCGGACAGUGUCUGGUGGGUAGUUUGACUGGGGCGGUCUCCUCCUAAAGAGUAACGGAGGAGCACGAAGGUUGGCUAAUCCUGGUCGGACAUCAGGAGGUUAGUGCAAUGGCAUAAGCCAGCUUGACUGCGAGCGUGACGGCGCGAGCAGGUGCGAAAGCAGGUCAUAGUGAUCCGGUGGUUCUGAAUGGAAGGGCCAUCGCUCAACGGAUAAAAGGUACUCCGGGGAUAACAGGCUGAUACCGCCCAAGAGUUCAUAUCGACGGCGGUGUUUGGCACCUCGAUGUCGGCUCAUCACAUCCUGGGGCUGAAGUAGGUCCCAAGGGUAUGGCUGUUCGCCAUUUAAAGUGGUACGCGAGCUGGGUUUAGAACGUCGUGAGACAGUUCGGUCCCUAUCUGCCGUGGGCGCUGGAGAACUGAGGGGGGCUGCUCCUAGUACGAGAGGACCGGAGUGGACGCAUCACUGGUGUUCGGGUUGUCAUGCCAAUGGCACUGCCCGGUAGCUAAAUGCGGAAGAGAUAAGUGCUGAAAGCAUCUAAGCACGAAACUUGCCCCGAGAUGAGUUCU
rnacentral:rRNA from 1 species